rnacentral:rRNA from 1 species
UCUUUGAAAAGCCAGGGGAUGACUUGUGGAUAGGGGUGAAAGGCUAAUCAAACUCGGUGAUAGCUGGUUCUCCCCGAAAGCUAUUUAGGUAGCGCCUCGGACGAAUACCAUUGGGGGUAGAGCACUGUUUCGGCUAGGGGGUCAUCCCGACUUACCAAACCGAUGCAAACUCCGAAUACCAAUGAGUACUAUCCGGGAGACAGACUGCGGGUGCUAACGUCCGUAGACAAGAGGAAAACAAUCCAGACCGCCAGCUAAGGCCCCAAAAUUAUAGUUAAGUGGGAAACGAUGUGGGAAGGCAUAGACAGCUAGGAGGUUGGCUUAGAAGCAGCCACCCUUUAAAGAAAGCGUAAUAGCUCACUAGUCGAGUCGGCCUGCGCGGAAGAUGUAACGGGGCUAAAACUAUAUGCCGAAGCUGCGGAUUUGCAAUUUAUUGCAAGUGGUAGGGGAGCGUUCUGUAAGCCGAUGAAGGUGUAUUGAGAAGUAUGCUGGAGGUAUCAGAAGUGCGAAUGCUGACGUGAGUAACGACAAUGCGAGUGAAAAACUCGCACGCUGAAAGACCAAGGGUUCCAGUCCAACGUUAAUCGGGGCUGGGUGAGUCGACCCCUAAGGCGAGGCCGAGAGGCGUAGUCGAUGGGAAAUUGGUUAAUAUUCCAAUACUUCUAUGUAAUGCGAUGAGAGGACGGAGAAGGUUAAGUCAGCCUGGCGUUGGUUGUCCAGGUGGAAGGUUGUAGGCAUGUAUCUUAGGCAAAUCCGGGGUACUCUAUGCUGAGAACUGAUAGCAAGCUGUACUUGUACAGUGAAGUGGCUGAUACCAUGCUUCCAGGAAAAGUCUCUAAGCUUCAGUUACAUAGGAAUCGUACCCGAAACCGACAUAGGUGGUCAGGUCGAGUAGACCAAAGCGCUUGAGAGAACUCUGCUGAAGGAACUAGGCAAAAUGGUACCGUAACUUCGGGAGAAGGUACGCUGCCGACGGUGAUAGGAUUUACUCCUUGAGCUAUUGGCAGCCACAGAAACCAGGCCCCUGCAACUGUUUAUUAAAAACAUAGCACUCUGCAAACACGAAAGUGGACGUAUAGGGUGUGAUGCCUGCCCGGUGCUGGAAGGUUAAUUGAUGGGGUUAGCGUAAGCGAAGCUCUUGAUCGAAGCCCCAGUAAACGGCGGCCGUAACGAUAACGGUCCUAAGGUAGCGAAAUUCCUUGUCGGGUAAGUUCCGACCUGCACGAAUGGCAUAAUGAUGGGUGCGCUGUCUCCAGCAGAGACUCAGUGAAAUCGAAUUCGCCGUGAAGAUGCGGUGUACCCGCGGCUAGACGGAAAGACCCCGUGAACCUUUACUGCAGCUUGACAUUGAACUUUGAUCUUACUUGUGUAGGAUAGGUGGGAGGCUUUGAAAUCAA